rnacentral:lncRNA from 1 species
AGUCACCGGGAGAAAACUGGGCUGACUGUGGGACUGGAACUGGAGAGCAUUUCUGGAUUCAGUCUUCUAAAAGGUGCCUCUUGCAUGGUGGCCUGACAUGUCAACGUGCCCAGGAGUCUGUGACAGGCAGCCAGGUGCCUCAUCCCCACUGCCUGGGGGGCCAGGGCUGGGCUGGGACUCACCAUAUUCUGGAAGUCGCACAAACUCCGAGGGCUCGCUGGGAAGGCUGAUUCCCCAGGGGUUACUGGCACUGACUCUGAACUGAUAAGGACACCCGGGACUAAGGUCUUCGAUGACGAGGUAAGUGUCCAAGGUCGAAG